rnacentral:rRNA from 1 species
UACAGAGGGGGCAAGCGUUAUUCGGAAUUAUUGGGCGUAAAGGGCGCGUAGGCGGCCUGGCAAGUGACGGGUGAAAGCCCUCGGCUUAACCGAGGAACUGCCUGUCAGACUGUUAGGCUUGAGACCGGGAGAGGUGAGUGGAAUUCCCAGUGUAGCGGUGAAAUGCGUAGAUAUUGGGAGGAACACCAGUGGCGAAGGCGGCUCACUGGCCCGGUACUGACGCUGAGGUGCGAAAGCGUGGGGAGCAAACAGG